AUUGAACGCUGGCGGCAUGCCUUACACAUGCAAGUCGAACGGCAGCACGGGUGCUUGCACCUGGUGGCGAGUGGCGAACAGGUGAGUAAUACAUCGGAACGUACCUUAUCGUGGGGGAUAACGCAGCGAAAGCUGUGCUAAUACCGCAUACGCCCUGAGGGGGAAAGCGGGGGAUCGCAAGACCUCGCGCGAUUAGAGCGGCCGAUGCCUGAUUAGCUUGUUGGUGGGGUAAAAGCCCACCAAGGCGACGAUCAGUAGCUGGUCUGAGAGGACGAUCAGCCACACUGGGACUGAGACACGGCCCAGACGCCUACGGGAGGCAGAAGUGGGGAAGUUUGGACAAUGGGGGCAACCCUGAUCCAGCAAUGCCGCGUGAGUGAAGAAGGCCUUCGGGUUGUAAAGCUCUUUUGUCAGGGAAGAAACACCGGCUCUAACACAGUCCGGGAAUGACGGUACCUGAAGAAUAAGCACCGGCUAACUACGUGCCAGCAGCCGCCGUAA
rnacentral:rRNA from 1 species